rnacentral:rRNA from 1 species
AACGUAGGUUCCGAGCGUUAUCCGGAAUUACUGGGCGUAAAGCGCACGUAGGCGGCUUUGUAAGUUAGAGGUGAAAGCCCGGGGCUCAACUCCGGAAUUGCCUUUAAGACUGCAUCGCUAGAAUUGUGGAGAGGUAAGUGGAAUUCCGAGUGUAGAGGUGAAAUUCGUAGAUAUUCGGAAGAACACCAGUGGCGAAGGCGGCUCACUGGACUGGUAUUGACGCUGAGGUGCGAAAGCGUGGGGAGCGAUCCGG